rnacentral:rRNA from 1 species
CCUACGGGAGGCAGCAGUGAGGAAUAUUGGUCAAUGGACGAGAGUCUGAACCAGCCAAGUAGCGUGAAGGAUGACGGCCCUAUGGGUUGUAAACUUCUUUUAUAAAGGAGUAAAACUGAGUACGUGUGCCUUUUUGCAUGUACUGUAUGAAUAAGGAUCGGCUAACUCCGUUCCAGCAGCCGCGGUAAUACGGAGGAUCCGAGCGUUAUCCGGAUUUAUUGGGUUUAAAGGGAGCGUAGAUGGGUUGUUAAGUCAGUUGUGAAAGUUUGGGGCUGAACCGGAAAAUUGCAAUUGAUACUGGCAGUCUAGAGUACAGUUGAGGUAGGCGGAA